UAAAGCUAAUCUGAGCAGGGUAAGCCGGCCCCUAAGCCGAGGCCGAAAGGCGUAGGCGAUGGGAACCACGUUAAUAUUCGUGGGCCAGAUGGAAGUGACGGAUUGUGAAGGUUGUUCCUCCUUAUCGGAUUGGAGGGGCCGCUGAUCAGUUCCUGGAAAUAGCUCCAUCAUCAGACCGUACCCUAAACCGACACAGGUGGACUGGUAGAGCAUACCAAGGCGCUUGAGAGAACGAUGUUGAAGGAACUCGGCAAAAUACCUCCGUAAGUUCGCGAGAAGGAGGCCCGGUUCCUAGGCAACUAGGGGCUGGGGGCACAAACCAGGGGGUGGCGACUGUUUAUUAAAAACACAGGGCUCUGCGAAGUCGCAAGACGA
rnacentral:rRNA from 1 species